UGGUGUACCAGUUGUCGUGCCAACGGCAUAGCUGGGUAGCUAUGUGUGGACGGGAUAAGUGCUGAAAGCAUCUAAGCAUGAAGCCCCCCUCAAGAUGAGAUUUCCCAACUUCGGUUAUAAGAUCCCUCAAAGAUAAUGAGGUUAAUAGGUUCGAGGUGGAAGCAUGGUGACAUGUGGAGCUGACGAAUACUAAUCGAUCGAAGACUUAAUCAAAUU
rnacentral:rRNA from 1 species